GACGAACGCUGGCGGCGUGCUUAACACAUGCAAGUCGAACGGAAAGGCCGUGCUUUUGUGGGUUGCUCGAUUGGCGAACGGGUGAGUAACACGUGAGUAACCUGCCCUUGUCUUUGGGAUAACUUCAGGAAACUGGGGCUAAUACCGGAUAGGAGCUCCUGUUGCAUGGUGGGGGUUGGAAAGUUUCGGCGGUUGGGGAUGGACUAGCGGCUUAGCAGCUUGAUGGUGAGGUGGUGGCUUACCAAGGCUUUGAAGGGUAGCCGGCCCGAGAACGUGACCAGCCACAAUAGGACUGAGAUACGGCCCAGACUCCUAACGGGGGCACCAGUGGGAAAUCUUGCACAAUGGGCCGACGCCUGAUGCGGCAACGCCGCGUGCGUGAGGACGUCCUUCGGGUUAAAAACCGCUGUCGCCUGUGACGAAGCGUUAGUGACGGUAAUGAGUAAAGAAGCACCGGCUAACUACGUG
rnacentral:rRNA from 1 species